UAUAGCUAUUAAUUUUUAUGUUUGUUUAUAUAAUGUUGGAUUUCAUUUGUUUGCAGCUGUUGGAGCUCCUCUUCCAGGCCCAGGGCCAGUCAGCUAUGCUCCUUCGCUUCCUCCGCUCCCCCCACAGCCCCCUCUUCCUUCUGUUAACGUGGACUCACCACCGCCGCCCAUUACUACAUCAUCACAAACACCAUCUGCGAUAGCAUCUCCACCGUCCAUUAACGACACUCCGGAGAAUCAACGGCCAUUGAUUCUCCCUAAUUCAGCUGCAAAGAUCUCAAUGGUGCACUCCUUGUCAAUCUUGCUGAUCUCUGUGGUGGCACUCAAAUAUUUAUUCUAAUUUUAAGGGAUUAGAAUAUUUGUAAUAGAUUGUAAAAUUUUUAAGGUGUAUAUGAUUCUAAAUGUAUUGUGAUAUGUGGCAUGCAUUGAAUAAUUUUCAUUAUUUGAUGAAAGAAACAUUUGUAAUUUUUAAUUUCAUUUUUUUAUGGUUAUUUACACAUAAAAGGAGUAUUUAAAUUGUGAACAAGUGAUGUAAUUCUAAAUGUUUGUUGCAAUGCGCUCCUAAUAUUAUAAAUGUGCUGACAUAAAAAAGGGUGGA